GCCGCCAUGGUGAAAUUGGUAGACACGCUGCUCUUAGGAAGCAGUGCUCAAGCAUCUCGGUUCGAAUCCGAGUGG
rnacentral:tRNA from 1 species